AUUGAACGCUGGCGGCAGGCCUAACACAUGCAAGUCGAGCGGAUGAAGGGAGCUUGCUCCUGGAUUCAGCGGCGGACGGGUGAGUAAUGCCUAGGAAUCUGCCUGGUAGUGGGGGAUAACGUCCGGAAACGGGCGCUAAUACCGCAUACGUCCUGAGGGAGAAAGUGGGGGAUCUUCGGGCCUCACGCUAUCAGAUGAGCCUAGGUCGGAUUAGCUAGUUGGUGGGGUAAAGGCCUACCAAGGCGACGAUCCGUAACUGGUCUGAGAGGAUGAUCAAUCACACUGGAACUGAGACACGGUCCAGACUCCUACGGGAGGCAGCAGUGGGGAAUAUUGGACAAUGGGCGAAAGCCUGAUCCAGCCAUGCCGCGUGUGUGAAGAAGGUCUUCGGAUUGUAAAGCACUUUAAGUUGGGAGGAAGGGCAGUAAGUUAAUACCUUGCUGUUUUGACGUUACCAACAGAAUAAGCACCGGCUAACUUCGUG
rnacentral:rRNA from 1 species